GACGAACGCUGGCGGCGUGCUUAACACAUGCAAGUCGAACGGAAAGGCCUGCCUUUGUGGGGUUCUCGAGUUGCCAACGGGUGAGGAACACCUUAGUAACCUUCCCUUUACUUUGGGUAUACCUCACGAAACUUGGGCUAAUACCGGAUAGGGGCCCCUCCUGCUUUGUGGGGGUUGGCAAGUCUCGGCGGUUGGGGAUGGACUCGCGGCUUUUCCGUUUUUUGGUGGGGUACUGGCUUACCAAGGCUUUGACGGGUAGGCGACCUGAGAGGGUGACCGGCUACGUUGUGACUGAGAGAGGGCCCAGACUCCUACGGGAGGCAGCAGUGGGGAAUAUUGCACAAUGGGCGGAAGCCUGAUGCAGCAACGCCGCGUGCGGGAUGACGGCCUUCGGGUUGUAAACCGCUUUCGCCUGUGACGAAGCGUGAGUGACGGUAAUGGGUAAAGAAGCACCGGCUAACUACGUG
rnacentral:rRNA from 1 species